UCAUACAAGCCCUUUAAAGGUAAGGAGUUCUCUUCAGCUAGUAGCAGAAGAGGAAGUUAGAGAGAUAUGCUCCAGCUGACCUCGAGGAGAACAGAACAUCCACAUUAUGAACUGACUAUGAGAGAACUCUAGGGGCUGAGAAUGGCCCCCACCAACAGGCAGCAAGGAACCAGGACUUCAGUCCUACAGCCACAAGGAACUAGAUUCUUCCAACAACCUGAAUGAGCUUUACUGUGCAUUCUUCCCCACAGCCUCCAGGAUAGUCUGUGCUCCAUGUGUGCUCCUUGGUACAGUGGCCUGGAAAAGUGAAGGGAUAGAAGAUCUGGGAGUGGAGAACCAAAAGAUAUUUUUCUACCUUUUGUUCUACAACAGCAAUAACUAAAAGCACGGAAGCAGCAGGAACAUCAGUUUUCUAGACAGAAGCCCUGGAAUGGAGCUGCCACUCUGCAACUCACUCAGCCAACCUGACUUCA